rnacentral:tRNA from 1 species
GCCCUAAUGGCUCAGUGGAUAAAGCGUCAGUCUGCGGACUGAAAGGUCCCAGGUUCGAUUCCGGCCAAGGGCA